GACAGAGGUCCCGAGCGUUAGGCGGAAUCACUAGGCUUAAAGCGUGUGUAGGCGGAUUUGUAAGUACCUUGUGAAAUCCCACGGCUCAACCGUGGAACUGCUUGGUAUACUGCUUAUCUUGGGCCAGCUAGGGGCUACCGGAACAAGUGGUGGAGCGGUGAAAUGCGUAGAUAUCACUUGGAACGCCAAUGGUGAAAACAGGUAGCUGGGGCUGUGCCGACGCUGAGACACGAAAGCCAGGGGAGCGAACGGG
rnacentral:rRNA from 1 species